UGCGUAGGCGGAGUAUUAAGUCAGUGGUGAAAUCUCUCGGCUCAACCGAGAAAUUGCCAUUGAAACUGAUAUUCUUGAGUAUAGUUGUAGUAGGCGGAAUAUAGCAUGUAGCGGUGAAAUGCUUAGAUAUGCUAUAGAACACCGAUCGCGAAGGCAGCUUACUAAACUAUUACUGACGCUCAUGCACGAAAGCGUGGGGAGCAAACAGGAUUAGAUACCCUGGUAGUCC
rnacentral:rRNA from 1 species